AGAGGUGGGUACAAUAUGUCCUGUGACAGGUAUGAUUUGUCCUGUCGUGGGUAUGAUUUGUCCUGUCGUGAAUACGAUUUGUCCUGUCGUGACUACGAUUUGUCCUGUCGUGAGUACGAUUUGUCCUGUCGUGGGUACGAUUUGUCCUGUCGUGGGUACGAUUUGUCCUGUCGUGGGUACGAUUUGUCCUGUCGUGGGUACGAUUUGUCCUGAGGUGGGUACGAUUUGUCCUGAGGUGGGUACGAUUUGUCCUGAGGUGGGUACGAUUUGUCCUGUGGUGGGUACGAUUUGUCCUGGGACAGGUACGAUUUGUCCUGGGACAGGUACGAUUUGUCCUUUUGUGGGUACGAUUUGUCCUAUUGUGGGUACGAUUUGUCCUGUGACAGGGAUUUGUCCUGAGGUGGGUAAAAUGUCAUGUGUCGAGUACGAUCAAUUCUGUUGUUGGUAAGAUUUGUCCUGUGGUGGGUAUAAUUGUCCUGUGACAGGUAUGAUUUGUCCUGUGACAGGUAUGAUUUGUCCUGUCGUGAGUAUGAUUUGUUCUGUUAUGAGUACGAUUUGUCCUGUCGUGGGUACGAUUUGUCCUGAGGUGGGUACGAUUUGUCCUGGGACAGGUACGAUUUGUCCUGGGACAGGUACGAUUUGUCCUGUUGUGGGUACGAUUUGUCCUGUUGUGGGUACGAUUUGUCCUGUUGUGGGUACGAUUUGUCCUGUUGUUGGUACGAUUUGUCCUGUUGUGGGUACGAUUUGUCCUGUGACAGGGAUUUGUCCUGAGGUGGGUUAAAUGUCAUGUGUCGAGUACGAUCAAUUCUGUUGUUGGUACGAUUUGUCCUGUGGUGGGUAUAAUUGUCCUUUGACAGGUAUGAUUUGUCCUGUUGUGGAUAUUAUUUGUCCUGAGGUGGGUAAAAUGUCAUGUAUCGGGUACCAUAAGUCCUUUUGUGGGUAUGAUUUGUCCUGUUGUGGAUACGGUUUGUCCUGUGGUGGGUAUAAUUGUCCUGUGACGGGUAUAAUUGUCCUGUGACAGGUAUGAUUUGUCCUGUUGUGGGUACGAUUAGUCCUGUUGUGGAUACGGUUUGUCCUGUGGUGGGUAUAAUUGUCCUGUGACAGGUAUGAUUUGUCUUGUGACAGGUAUGAUUUGUCCUGUUGUGGGUAUUAUUUGUCCUGUGGUGGGUAUAAUUGUCCUGUGACAGGUAUUAUUUGUCCUGUGGUGGGUAUGAUUUGUUUUGUGACUUCCAACCUACAAGGCAACGUUCCCCGUCCCUCUGAGGGGGAAUUUAUUUUUCUUAACCUUUACCAGCACCACUGGCUGGGUCCAACAGAACACGUGGAUCAUCCGUUGGCUUUCAAAGCUGGUUGGACUGUUUUCACACCUGCCAGCUGCAGGUUCUCGCCACUCGUUUCCUCCUGGAUCUUUUUCUUUCUCAACAGUUCAGUCAAAAAGAAAAAAAGAGGAGACGGACAGCUGCGGUGGAAGGAGGGCGAGGAUUGGUUUUCACCCACCAGGUUCACCGGGGAACAGCUGGGUGAGGCGGAGAGGGGGGCGAGGGAAGGUCUUGGCGAUCGCCCCUGGUUACCUAGAGGAGGGGCUACUGCACUCAGAGGCGGGGCAACAGAACUGAUGGGCGAUGUCAUCAUCUUCCUCCUCUCUGAGAGACAGACCAGGAAACAGGAGACACAGACAGAAGAGGACAGGGAGCGAGAGUGGAAGCAAAAGAUAAAGACGGCAGAGAAUCUGAGAAGUGUUGGCUUUAACCCUGCUGCUGCCCUCAGGUCAAAUAGCCCAGCAGGCCUCGGCCCUAAAGCCAGGGCAGCAGGGGGGUUAAAGUUAGAGCUGCAGUCCUGCAGUCCACCACCAGAGGUCAGUGCUUCCUCAUCACUAACUGACAGAGGUGAAGAAGCCUCUCAUCGCCAAAACAAAACUUUUACAGUCAGAGAACAAACUCACCUCUGACUGAAAGUUUCCACUGAGCGAGCAAAGACAGGAGGAGGAGGAGGAGGAUGAAGAGGUGAUGAUGAUGAUGAUGAUGAUGAUGAUGAUGAUGAUGAUGAUGAAGGGAAAGCCGAGCCAAUAAUACACAUUAAUGCAAAUUAAUACCCAAAAGUGCAAAUGAGUGCAAUAAUCUGUGCAGCUUUGGUUUUUAAACAGCUGUGAUCCAUCACUGGGACCCUGCUCAGCAGUUUCCUGCUCUCGUUUAAACUUUAAAACUUAAAAAAUAAAAAGCAGUCAACAGGCCGUCUGAAGAGAUCACAUCAUCUGAGACCAAUUUAGAGGUUUUAUCAGUGCUGAAAGUUAAAGCUCAGAACAAACAGUUAUAAAACACGCAGAUCUGCUGCAUCACCUGAGUUUUCAAAUCUUUUAUUUUGACAUCUAUUGGUUUAAACAGGAAGUUAAAUGAACUUCCUCCAGCUGUUUUAUUUAAUUUGAAAUGGUGGAACGUGUAUCACUGAUGGGUUACUGUUUUCUUAACAGAAUGAAAAAUCUUUAAAGCUUUUAAAAUGUUUGUCUUUAAUGUUCAGUGAUGCACAAGUUCUGUCGUUUAGUGUUGUAGAAGAGAAACUCUGUCCAUCGUCCACCUCUUAUCUCAGAGGCAACUAACGCUGCAGCUAAUGAUUAUUUUAGUAAUUGAUUAAUCUUUCAAUUAUUCUGUCGAUUAAUCAAGUWAUCUGAUUAAAACUAUUCUCAUCUUCUGCAGGCCUUACUUUAGCUUAUUUAAUGACAAAUACAAUUGUGAAGGGGUCAUCUAACCUAACCUGCACUUACUAACGAUCCUGCUGCAAUCAAAGUAAAAUUACAAUACCAGUUGUAUUUAAUUCAUGCAUUUUAAGCUGUUUGUAUUCAAGUGUGUGAGGUUUGAUGAGGCAUUAAUUAAAAGCUCUCUUUAUUGAAUCAUUUUUAACCAUCACUGAAAAAUAUAAAUUAUGGUAAUUCAUUUUUAUGGACUGGAAAACCAAAUUAGUAAGUAAAAUGUGUAAUAUAAAAAAUUGGGUUUUGCACAUUGAGUAUUGUAGAUUCCACGUUAUCAUUAAUAGUUAAAUUAAAUUCAUAUUUUUAUUACGACUGUUAUUAGCAGGGUUCCCAUUUUAGGCAAUCAAAUAUUUAGUCCUGACUGGUUAGUUAUGUAUGACAGCAGUAAUAAAUAAAGGCUAAUGACAGGUUUCAAAGUCAUAAAAAGCAGCAGCAAAAAAGAAAAAAA